AAAUAUAAUCUACAUUGGAAGAGAAAUUAGUAAAUGUUAAACAAGGUAUGGUUGGGUUAGUUUUUUUCCGGAUUUGGAGUCUAGGAUGGUGAAAUAUCUAUAGUCUUCAUGAACUUGCUUUUAUUAGUUGUGAAUGUUGUGCAUGAGAUAACUUUACUGGCGAUUUAAACUGAAGUGGUGGCAAAAGUUCGCAGUGCCAGAGAAGGAAGUCAAACAGAAAUGAAACAAGUUAAGAGAGGAAAUGGGAAAGGGCACGGGCAUGCUUUAUAUCAAUUUAUUUUUUACAGCACUAAUAGAUGAAAGAUAUGUUGACUAAAACUGUCUGAUACAAGUCUUAAACUGUUUCUUUCAGUAGAUUUUUGUUAUAUUUUGACAUAGAUAGUGGAUGAAGGGUGUUUUAAGCCAUUUUACUAAUGGUUAUGCUUUCAGGGAUAUUAUGAACAAGCCAUGGUACUAUAUACAGUAUUAAACGUGUGAUAAAGACCUUCUAUCCUGGUUGACCAAACCAAAGCCUACUUUUGUGACAACAUCGUAUAGAUAUUUUUCUGUCGUACAAGGGAAGGAUGUUUAGCCAUUACCUUUCACAAUUAGUUAUCCAAGCUAGCUGACAGAAUGUUACUUUUGUUUUUUCAUCUUCGAAUGAAGUUUUUCACUGAAAAUGCUCACAUGACAUUCUUUACAUUACAAGCAUUUAAUGUUGCACCUUGUCAUAUGAAAUCUAUUAUUUUAAUCAAGUCAGUUUACUUGCCUGUGAGAAAAUAAAACUUGUGUGUAUACACUUCAUUUGUUGGCUAACACUUACGGAAACUUCUCUUGUCAAAUAUGUCAAAAUGUUCUUUAUUGAUACUUUUUGUUGUUUAUACCUCAUGAUUUUAUUGCGGUUUUGAAGGUCCGGAUUUUGGAUAGCGAGUCACCCUCCUUAUAUUCCCUUUGUCGAGCUUGGCUACGAAAUAGUGUGCCGCAUGAGAGUCAGGUUCGUACACACCUUUUUUGUAUUUGAGACUUGGUUACCAUGUCAAGGACCAAACUUCUGUUGAACUCCUGUUGUUCCUGCAUUCCAUCUUUCUGUUUCAGUAAAAUCUUGGUAUGGCAGAUGCUAUUUGGUAGUUCUGGAAAACGUUAAGAUCUCUUUAUUUUGAAGUUAGAAUCACCCUAAGUCUGAACCAUAUGUCCACUGCCAGUAAGGAUUUUUCUGCACCAUCUGUAUGUUGCUUGGUUGUCUUGCCUUCUGAGAUUUGAAACCAGCUGUAUAUACUACAUCACAAAAUAGUAUUUGAUAUUGCUUUUACAAUAUUUAUUUUCUCAUCAGAUCAACAAAAGAAAUAGAAAAUUGCAAAGAUUGGAAAAUUCUUAUUAGUAACAGAGGAUGUGAGAUCAGAUAAAUCAAUUAUUAUGAUUGUUUAGUUGAGGAACAAUAAAUGGUCAAAACAGCAAGAGAAUUGAACAAAUAAGUAGUUUUGAAAAAUGUUGCCAGUAACAGAGGCUGUGGGAUCGGAGAAAUCAAUUAUUUAAGACAAAUUGUUGCUGAGCACAGCAACAGUGAAUUCCUUUCACAUCUACGAGGGACAUCUCUAUUGAUUCUUGUAGUUAUAAUAAAGCAUAGGUAUAUUUGAAGCCCAAAUAUGCCCCUUUAAGUGGAUAAUAACUGUUGACUAUCCAUCUGAGUGCUAAAAUGUAUUGUUUCCUUUAUUGGGAGCCAGGCAUGAUAGGCGUAGUCGAUUUUUGAAGGAUCUUGUUGAGUUGACCAAGUGCUGAGCUAAUUCAUGAAAUAACCGAUUUGAAACUGCUUCGACUUGUCAUUUCUGAUGUCAUUACUUCCUAAUGCAGUUUCUUUGGCAUGUCUGGAAUUUGAUUUCCUUUUGACUGAUUCUACAUAUUAAUGCAGAUAUUUGUCUUCCACAGUUUGGCUUUGAGUUUUUGGUCUGAACGUGAACGAGCUGUGGUGUCAUAAUCGCUACUUGCUUUCGUUGUAUUAGCUACAGAGUACAUGAAACACUCUCGAGCUCUGGUGUCAUAAUCCCUACUCACUUUCGUUGUAUUAGCUACAGAGUACAUGAACACUCUCGAGCUGUGGUGUCGUAAUCCCUGCUCACUUUUGUUGUGUUAGCUACAGACUACAUGAAACAGUCUCCCAUCAAGGCCUUAUUCUUCUCGCUUGUGUCCUUCAACUGAACUAACAAGCUAUUGCCCAAGUCCACCAGCACAACUCCCCUCCCGACNACAGACUACAUGAAACAGUCUCCCAUCAAGGCCUUAUUCUUCUCGCUUGUGUCCUUCAACUGAACUAACAAGCUAUUGCCCAAGUCCACCAGCACCACUCAUCUGCUUUUUUAACCUUUGCAGCCGGUCAUAAUGGAGUCAACUUGAUCGGCAAUUAUUAUCAGUGGCCUGGACAUAUUACUGUACAGCUCUUCCCACCUUCCUGUAUUUUGCAUGGCCUUCGCUUCAAUCAGAGUCAACAAAGCCAAUUGUCUUUCCUAACUUUACAUAAUUUGUUACUCUGUGUUUAAUUUUUAUUAUUCAGGACUGAUGGCUCUCUUAUCGUUUCGUUUUCCAUUCUAUUUGUGACUAAUUCGUUUGUUCAUUUUCAGCCAAAUAUUGGAAACAGUGUUGAGCUUCCAAAACCCUUGCCUGCUUCUAUGAUUGACGCUAGCAUAUUGAGGGACGAUGCAAAUGGCGAUAAGGAUGACGAAAGCAAUGUAAGAGGUUCAUUUUCAAUAUUGAUUUGCCAUCUUAAUUGUAUUAAUAUCUCGUUUUGAUUUCAUACAUGCGGUAGUAUGCCGACAGGCACGAAGAUAAUAGAUUAUUUCAUUGCAGUAAUCUCAUCUUUUCUUCUUAUACCAUGACAAAUUCUAGAAGAUACUAAUGUUUUCUAAAUUUGUAUUUUUCGGGUCAUAUAUGUGAAAUGUGUGAUUAUUCUAUUUCCUCUUGCAGCAUGUACGCUCUGCCGAAGAGUUAUCCACACAAGAUUUACUAAAUGAGCACAUAAAGCGUGGUAAAAAGAUUCGUGCUCGGUGAGUUCCAAUUUCUUUCUAUGGUAUAAUUAUUUAUUGAGCUGCAUACGAGUCAAUAAGAAAAAGUAUGCCAUUAGAUUUAAUAAUUAUAAACUUGAUUUUCGAAGAAACAAUUUUGUUUUCGAAGACUCAUUUUUUGCUUGUUAUGUUUGUUAUAUCAGAUUAUUAAUCGCAAUCAUAAAAGAAGGGAUCGAGUAUAAUGAGUUCCAAUCUACGGUUCUGCAGGUUGAGCAAAGAGCGCCGACUACGGAUCGAGAGGUACAGAGAAAGGCUCACCCUCCUCCUCCCUCCGAACCUUGAGACAGCGCGACACGAAACUGAGUAACUUCGCCUGCUUUUAAUCGCAUAAUCCGUGAAUUUAAACAAUUCUAACAAGAAAAAUAAGGGCUUGUACAGAGCAAUUUAUAGGUUAGGAUUUGUAGGAUGCACUUGUAUAUCCAAUGCUUGAUGUUCCUUUGUUCUUUCGCAGCAUCUGCUGCAUAGUGUUAAUUAGUUUCUACUUUCUGAGCUCCUAGUGGAGUGUAAAUGUUGCAUGUUUGAAGUGAUUCAUCAUCAUAGAGAGAAGGAUCAAAUCUUUUUUUUUUCUGAGUUUGAGCACAGGGUUUCUCUAUGAUCUUACCAUUUUGAAUAUGCAAUAUUUUAACAUGCAUGAAGUGUUUAGAAAUGUGAAUGAUUUAUUAUUAUUAUUAUUUUUAGCAUCAGUUUGAGUUGUUUAACAUCUGAGAUGAGAUCAUGUAGCUACAGCAACCCUUUGAUAUUUACUAGCUUAUCGUUUGCAAAAAUGUAUGAAGACCCCCUCACGUAUAUGCUCGUUAGGACUAGGCCCUUCAACUGUUUUUUUUUUUUUUUAUGGGUAAACUUCAAAUACCACCCCUAUGUUUUGCACUCUCUCACUUUCGUACCAUAUGGUUUAAAGUGUAUCAAGUUAGUAUUUUGUAGCUUUUUUUUUAUUUGUCAGCUCCUCUGUUAAUAUUUCGUUAAAUUAUAUAUAAAAAACUUCAAAUACCUCAUCUAGAUUUAUCGAAUAUUUACUUUAAUACUCUUUAGUUUUAACUUUAUCACUGAUUUAAUAAAAAAAAAUUAGUAGAAUGAAUAAUAAAAAGAGAAAGGUAAAAUCACAGGGUAUUAAAUUGAUAUAUUUUAAAUCACAUAAUUUUGAAGUGAGAAAGUGUAAAACUACAUGGUGGUAUUUAAAGUUUUUUUUUUUUUUAAUUCACAUCCGCUCAACUGCUUCUUUACAAAUUAAAUAAUUUUAGUUUAAAAAGAGUUUUUUUUCUUUCAAACUCAUAUUACUGUUCAUAUCACAUUAAAUAAUUUUAAUUAGUUUUUAAUAAUAAAAUUUAGAGUAAUUAAAUUUUAUAAAAUUUCUAACAAUUAGUAUUAGAACAUUAGGGCUACUAAUCAAAAAAAUUAAAAGGUCAGGGGUCUAUUCUGAAUGGCCAUAGUUGAAGGGCAUGUAUUUUUACCAAAAAAUAAUAAUAAUAAUAAUAAACUCUAAUUUUUGUUUAAAUUAGUUUUAGUUUCAGAUCAAAUAGUGAAAGAAAAAUUAUUUUUAUUUAAACUUUAAUAAAUACAUUUAGGGGCCCUUUGAUUGGAUGUAAUUAUAAAUGCAGUGUAGUUAAAGAUGCAUGCGGUUGAAAAUACAGCAAUUAUAAAUACAUGAAUCUUAUUUGGUUGGAUGUAGUAGAAAGCGCUGCAAGUAUAAAUAAUUUAUUUGGUUGCAUGCAAUUGAAAAAUAAUUUUUAAAAUUUUAUUAUUUUAUAUAUAUGAUGGUGAGAUUACCUCCAAUGUAAAAAAAGAAAAAAAAAAUUUGUUUAAAAAAUAUUGAAAAAGGUAAGCAUACCUUUUAUUUAAAAUUACUCACUCCAAUUGCUGUAGUUGGAACUGCGGUCAAUUAGGGUGUAGUUUGAACUGCAUUGUAGCAGUUGGAGUUAAAUAUAUCAAACCAAUCACGAAAUUUGUAUUUACAUAUAGUUACAACUGCAGUACAGUUACAACUACAUGCAACCAAACCAAACGGCCCCUAAAUGUAGCAGCUCUUCCCUGUUCAUACCGAGCUCCCUCUCUCUCUCUCUCUCUCUCUCUCUCUCUCUCUCGCCAUGUCUCCUCUUUCCGUCUCUUCGCUCUCCUCCUCCUCCAUUCCCACCAUUCCCAAAACCCUAACCCUAACCCCGACCCACCCUCUUCCCCGUCGCCUCCGAUUCAAACACCUACUCCCUCCACGCCGCCCCCUCUCCCUCUCCUCCCCUUCCUCCUACUCCCCUCUCCCCCUCAUCUCCGCCACCUCCUCCUCCAUCCCCGUCGAGGACCUCGUCGAGAGCGACUGGUCCUUCCUCGACCCCCCGGACGACGCCCUGGUGGAGUCCGCGGGCCCCUGCGAGCUCCUCGUCGCCGUCCACGAGUCGCUCUUCGCGCUCGCGAUGAUCAAGGAGGCCCACGAUCGCGUCCGGUGUUGGCAGGGCGGCGCCGCCGCCGUGCCGGAGAAGUUCGCCCCGUUCGACGCCGUGUUCGUUUGCUACUUCCCCGGGAUGGGGCUUUCUAUCGCAGAGCUCUUGGAAUCUCUCGCUCCGCGAUGUUCUCCAGGUUUAGAUUCGUCCUCUUCUUUCUCCUUCCUUGUUAAAUCUGCUUCUGCUUCUGCUUUUAGCAACAGCAUCAUCUAGUCGAGCUUUUGGUGACCAAAAUUUAUCUGAUACUUCUGCUGUACUUGGAAUUAAAGCUGAGAUUCUGAGAUCCAAAAAUAGAAACAUCAAUUUUGUGCUUCUACUUCUUUAGGAGAGAUUAUAUUAGAGGCACUUUAGUAUAACACUUUCCUAUUCAAACACCACUACACCCUUAAGUAGGGCUUGUUUGUCCUAGCUUCUGAAACAACUUAUCUACUCUAAGAAUUUAGGUUGUGGCCAGAAGCUUCUGGCCUGAAAAAUUUUAGAAAAAAAAAUAUUGUUGUGUUUUUUUUUCGAAUAGCUCUACUUCUAACUCCUUUGAAGUUUGUUUCUUUAGUUCAUGUUGUUGGAAUUAGGAAACAGUGAAAAUUUACAAACUAGAUAGCUAACGUAUUCAGAAACCGAAAUUGGAUUGGCUUGCUUGUUUACUAGCCGAGCAGUUCGAUCCUCCUUAAAUCACUUAUUAUAGACCAAUCUUUCAUGAUGGAGUUGUGCAUUAGUGCCUUCCGGAGGUACAGCUAUUUUGACUGAGAGGUUUUCAAGAACACCUUGUUUGUUUGCUAGUAAAUGAGUGUUAGUUCAAGUUAAUUGUAAUGGGAGUAGUCUUCGGUUGUAGAAAACAGCAAUCUUGUAGGUGAUUGUUAUUGCUGGCGCUGGGCGGAGUAAAUAUACGUGGUUAAUUGUUGAAUGUUGUUAGUGAUAGGGAUAAAGAAUCCUGUAAUGGGAUAUCACUUGCGAGAUUGAUGUUCCUUUUUCUGGGAAGAGAAUAGUAAGAGGAGUGAAAAGGAGAAAAACCGGAACAGCAAGAGGGCAUGGAUCAUCGACUCAAAAGCAUUGGUUUUGAAAUGGAAGUAGUUAGGGUUUGAUACUUCGGGAAAUACCUUUAUCUAUCUCUUCCUCUGUGAUUAUGAAUGUAUCCGUGUACUCGGAGAGUAUUUCAGGGCAAUAAUUUUGACCUUUUAUCUGUUGGAUGCCGCAUUGCAAUUCAAGGACGUGUCGAUUACGGAUCGGUUACUUGUGGCAGGCAUUGAGGUUCUUGCUUAUGCCCGCUAUUUGCGAUGUGCAUCCAAUGGAUUAAAAGUUGGAAGUAUUUGCCCUCAAAUUAGAAUUCUAUAUCAAAUUUUUGGGUGAUAUCAUUAUAACUUCUCUGAAGUAAAUUAAUCGGUGUUAGCUUUUCAGGACACUAUAUGAUUAUAGAACUGCCAAACUUCAACCGUAUUUCCGUUGCUACAUGACUAAAUUGCAAAUGACUUGACAGCAACCAACCCUUUCAAUUCGAUUAUACAUUUUUUAUUUUGCUUUUGACGAUUUCUUAUGCUGUUGUUAAGGUGCGAGAGUAGUCAUCUGCUUCGAUCAAGGGAGGCAGGUUGUCGAACAACAUUGGCAACAGUAUCCCGACAUGGUAACCGCCGACUUGCCUGACAAAGCUCUUCUGGAGAAGGCCGCAACGGAGAAUUCGUACCAGAUAACGGAAUUCGUCGAUGAGCCUAACUUCUACCUUGCUGUGUUAAGAUGUCAGAAAUAAGGAUUUUCAGUUCUGCAACAAGUGGUAACAAAGUUUUCUUUCUGGUGUAAAAAAGCAAAUACAAUUUUUUGUGUGCUUCCUUUUCCAGUUCCAUGCCAAUAUAAAUAUUGUUCGAGCAUGCUUGCAUAUGAAUCUUUUCUAAUGAUUUCUCAUUUGAUUCCGGAGUAGGAACAUAGACUAAUCAUUUUGAGUCGAUUAUUCAACCUUUUAAAAUUUCAACUUUAUUAUCCAGUCUUUCAAUUUGUUUGAUUUUACUGACUUUAAAAUUUGAGCUAAUUGCGUAUUUUAAUAAAUUUGAAAUUCUAAGAAUAGAAUGAAAUGUACUAACGUAUUCAAAUUUUAAAGUCAAAAUGUCAUUGACUGUCUCAAAUCAAACAGAUUGAAAGGUUGGAUAAUAAAAUUAAAAUUUUGAAAGAUUAGAUAGUCGACUCAAAAUGAUCUAUAGUUUAUGUAAGUUCUGUACGUUUUUAAAAAACGGAUUACCAAACGCUCUCGCAGCAAAAAUUAUUUUUGGACUUAAAAUUAUUUUCCAGAAUCUGGGCUAAACACCUCCUUCCUACAUCUUGAUUUUCCCUUUAAAUGAUGUAGAAGAUUACAGGGACCUAAUUUUUGUUUUUCAAAGCAGGAGAGACAUGAAAUUAUGAACCCUUUUUAUUUUAAUGGGAAGAAAGAGUGGAAAAGAGUUGUGAAGUUGUGCAAGUAACUUGCCCUAGAUUGGGAGGAUUCUAUUUCCUUAUCUAAUUAUUAUUUUGGAAAAAUUAGUUGGGGCAAUUGCUUAUAUAUACUUCUGAAAAUUUUUCAACUUUCUUAGUAUUAUUAAAAAUAUAUUUCUAGAGUUAAAUUCUCUUAGUAAAAAUCUUAGGAACAGCCAUUAAUUUUAGAAAAUCUCACCGACAGUCCCUAUAGCAAGUGACAAAGGGCUUGGUGGUUGGUACCCGAGACCCAAGUUUGAGUUCUAGUUGAUUCAUAUUUUCAGCUAAAUUUAUUUCUAAAUGAAAUAAACGAAGUGGAUAGCGUGCUACCUAACUCUCUCCUAAUGCAAUUGAACCCCUUAAUAUAAUAAUAUAUAGUAAGUAUAGGGCGAUACCACAUCAUUUAAACAAUAACUAAAAAAAAAAAAAAAAAAAAAAAAAGUUUCAUUUUGCUUUUUUAAAUAUACUUUUCUAUCAUCACUUUAUUUACCCAUAGGUUAGGAACAAAAGAAGUAUUUUAACUUUUUCACUUUUCAAAUAUAUUAUUUUUUUGCUCCAAUUUUCUUAUUUGCCCUUAAGUUAGGGACAAAAUAGGUAUUUUAAUUAGUUUUUAACUAAGGUAGAAAUUUAACUCAGAUUUAACCUGAAUUGACUUAACGGGCACUAAUAGCAGGAAUAUUUUUGAAUAACAGAGAAAUAUAUAAGAGGUACAUUUGAAACAAAAAAAAAAGAAAUAAAUAAAAUAUUUCAGAGGUUUUGAGAGGUAUGUCGG
rnacentral:lncRNA from 1 species